CCUACGGGAGGCAGCAGUGGGGAAUAUUGGACAAUGGGCGAAAGCCUGAUCCAGCAAUGCCGCGUGAGUGAUGAAGGCCUUAGGGUUGUAAAGCUCUUUUACCAGGGAUGAUAAUGACAGUACCUGGAGAAUAAGCUCCGGCUAACUCCGUGCCAGCAGCCGCGGUAAUACGGAGGGAGCUAGCGUUGUUCGGAAUUACUGGGCGUAAAGCGUACGUAGGCGGUUAUUCAAGUCAGAGGUGAAAGCCUGGAGCUCAACUCCAGAACUGCCUUUGAAACUAGAUAGCUAGAAUCUUGGAGAGGUGAGUGGAAUUCCGAGUGUAGAGGUGAAAUUCGUAGAUAUUCGGAAGAACACCAGUGGCGAAGGCGACUCACUGGACAAGUAUUGACGCUGAGGUACGAAAGCGUGGGGAGCAAACAGGAUUAGAUACCCUGGUAGUCCACGCCGUAAACGAUGAUAACUAGCUGUUCGGGCUCUACGAGCUUGAGUGGCGCAGCUAACGCAUUAAGUUAUCCGCCUGGGGAGUACGGUCGCAAGAUUAAACCUUAAAGGAAUUGACGG
rnacentral:rRNA from 1 species